AACGAAGCACUUUAUUACGAUUUCUUCGGAAUGACGAUUUAGUGACUGAGUGGCGGACGGGUGAGUAACGCGUGGGUAACCUGCCUUGUACUGGGGGACAACAGUUGGAAACGACUGCUAAUACCGCAUAAGCGCACAGAACCGCAUGGUCCGGUGUGAAAAACUCCGGUGGUAUGAGAUGGACCCGCGUCUGAUUAGGUAGUUGGUGGGGUAACGGCCUACCAAGCCAACGAUCAGUAGCCGACCUGAGAGGGUGACCGGCCACAUUGGGACUGAGACACGGUCCAAACUCC
rnacentral:rRNA from 1 species